rnacentral:lncRNA from 1 species
GGGCAUUUGAGUUAAGACCCUUGUCAUGUUACAUGUGUGUUGAUCUUGUCCCGAUUCCUAUUAAAUGGGCAUAUUUUUAACUUCAUAAUUUUAGAGCCCUUACCACAUCGUAGUUAAAAUAGAAACUGCAUUUUUUUUUUUUUGGUAUUCCGUUGAAUUGCUAUAUGUAAAGCUGUAUCAUCUCAUUCUGUGUGACUGUAAUUGAAUGUGGAAUUCUAACACAGGUUUUCUCUGUUUUCCUAGUAGUGUUAGUCUAUUGUGCCGAGUACAUCAACGAAGUGGCUGCAAUGAACUGGAGGAGUCUCAUCCUGACCUCAUCACACACACAUCCAC